rnacentral:rRNA from 1 species
AGAGUUUGAUCCUGGCUCANAUUGAACGCUGGCGGCAUGCCUUACACAUGCAAGUCGAACGGUAACAGGUUAAGCUGACGAGUGGCGAACGGGUGAGUAAUAUAUCGGAACGUGCCCAGUCGUGGGGGAUAACGCAGCGAAAGCUGUGCUAAUACCGCAUACGAUCUACGGAUGAAAGCGGGGGAUCGCAAGACCUCGCGCGAUUGGAGCGGCCGAUAUCAGAUUAGCUAGUUGGUGGGGUAAAAGCCCACCAAGGCGACGAUCUGUAGCUGGUCUGAGAGGACGACCAGCCACACUGGAACUGAGACACGGUCCAGACUCCUACGGGAGGCAGCAGUGGGGAAUUUUGGACAAUGGGCGAAAGCCUGAUCCAGCAAUGCCGCGUGCAGGACGAAGGCCUUCGGGUUGUAAACUGCUUUUGUACGGAACGAAACGGUCUCUUCUAAUAAAGGGGGCUAAUGACGGUACCGUAAGAAUAAGCACCGGCUAACUACGUGCCAGCAGCCGCGGUAAUACGUAGGGUGCGAGCGUUAAUCGGAAUUACUGGGCGUAAAGCGUGCGCAGGCGGUUAUAUAAGACAGAUGUGAAAUCCCCGGGCUCAACCUGGGACCUGCAUUUGUGACUGUAUAGCUAGAGUACGGUAGAGGGGGAUGGAAUUCCGCGUGUAGCAGUGAAAUGCGUAGAUAUGCGGAGGAACACCGAUGGCGAAGGCAAUCCCCUGGACCUGUACUGACGCUCAUGCACGAAAGCGUGGGGAGCAAACAGGAUUAGAUACCCUGGUAGUCCACGCCCUAAACGAUGUCAACUGGUUGUUGGGUCUUCACUGACUCAGUAACGAAGUUAACGCGUGAAGUUGACCGCCUGGGGAGUACGGCCGCAAGGUUG